AACACCCUGCAAUUCACGUAUAGAGCCUACAUUUUUUACCAACACUUCUUAUACGGGAUUUCGGCUCUUUUUGCGGCGUAUACGCCUCCUUUUCCUAUCGGAACUGCCAGUGGACAUAUAAUGCAAGAAGGAGAUAACCCACCUGCGUUUGCAGGUAAGAAAUCGGGUCUUGUCUACGGUCUGUGUGGGGUUUUU
rnacentral:other from 1 species